UUUGCUCUUUGUUCAAUUUAAUUAAUUAAAAUGAGCACAUACAACAUAACUCUUUGUAAAAAUGGUGUCAACUUAAUUAUAUUUAACAGAAACAAUGUAAUUUUCAAAAAAUUAGGUUUACAAAAAUUGUUUUAAUUGAGUCAACAAGAAUAUUUUUUGUUCGUCUUAACCGGAUGCACGUCAUCAACGGAAACGAAUGCAGAUGGAUUGCUCAGCAGCGAACAUGUGAGUUGGAUAAAUGAUGAAUUGCAUCGGAUCACAACCCUUCCUUUACACUCCAAAAUUAAUGUCCAAACUGGAUCUGUUCUCUGAUGAUCUGCUAAAAGUGUUUACCAAAAAGGGUGGAGUGUUUAGAAAAAAGAUUCAAGAUGUGAUGCUGCCAAUGUCUCAGACCAAGCAAGAGUGCAUUCUCAAGGGGCUAUGCAUCUACCUGAAUGAAGAUGAUGAUGGAGUAUUUGG